rnacentral:rRNA from 1 species
UACGGAGGAUCCAAGCGUUAUCCGGAUUUAUUGGGUUUAAAGGGUGCGUAGGCGGCCUAUUAAGUCAGGGGUGAAAGACGGUAGCUUAACUAUCGCAGUGCCUUUGAUACUGAUGGGCUUGAAUGUACUUGAGGUAGGCGGAAUGUGACAAGUAGCGGUGAAUGCAUAGAUAUGUCACAGAACACCAAUUGCGAAGGCAGCUUACUAAAGUAUGAUUGACGCUGAGGCACGAAAGCGUGGGAUCAAACAGG